GAUUGAGACUGCAGACACUACAGCCUUGCUUGAGCUUUCUGAAAGAAUCGUAGCAUGUGGUACACAGGAUCCUAACAUGUGAUGAAAGGAAGACAUUGUCAGGAGCGAGGACUUUGACAGAACGGGGCACAAUGUCCAGAUUAAAGAUGCUGUUGUGCCAAACAUUUUAACUUUCCAGCUCAUCUUCAAAGGGUCUGUGUAUCACUGACCAACAAUAAUUCAAGGUGGCUGGAAUAACAACCCUAAUGUCGUCCAGUUAAAGUAGAUCUUUAGGAAGCUGAUGUUAAACAGAGGCAAUGUGACGGCGCAGGAUGAGUCCCUACCAUCUGUCCUCAACACCUCUUCAAACCUGUCAGAUAUGAGGAGAAGAUCUUCCAUCCACGUUUGCUGAUAUUCCUGCCCUAGUACAUGACCACAGCUACCUUCCCGUCCGAUUCGAUGGUCUUGUGGACAACAGUCUCUUGUACAUUUCAAGAUGUACAAUUAUACAAGUCUUGCAUAAUUAUGGGCUGAAAUUCAACAUAGUUGUAUAUUUAAGACAUGAAUAUUUCAAUUAAAAACAUUUCAAACUGAUUUUCAUAAUUAAAAAUUCAAGAAUUAAUAUUCACCUUUCAGAUUUCACUUCCAAAAUAUUCGAUCUAUUUAAAAAUACAACCUAUAAUAUUCAACAGGCAAGUUUCAGUCCAUUUUAUUUCGCUUUACAAAUUCGCUUCCACAAAUUCAGUGGUUCAAAUUCGACAGUAAAUUCACCGUUUCACAUCCGGGAACAACAGGAAAAUCAGUAGAUUACCGAUCACAAUCUCAUCUGCUGUAAAUCGUCUUCACCGGCAGGGGGUGCAAGCGCUACUUUGUCUUAACAAGCAUCAACGAAACCGUCACGAGAGGCCUUCAUAAAACAUCAUUUGACGAAAUGGACCGAGCGCAUUUGCUUUUGGAUUAUGUUUUGGAAAGACUCCGUUCACGCUUGGAAAAUGCUGUUGGACGCCAACCCCUUGACAUGGACUACCUGGAGUUCAUCUGCUCUCAAGAAUUAGUCUUUUUAAGUGCUGUGACCAAUUUAGUUACCAUCCCAGCUGAUAUUUUGGAGGGCAUCACAGAACUGUCAGACUAGUUCGACUAAACCUGUCAGACGGGGAGACGCGCACUUCGACUAUUCUGCAGGAGUCAGGGUCGAUGGGACGACCACGUCUUCUAAUCUCACCAGACUACAUCACCAAUCUCCUGGACAUGAACUUUUCUGUUCCAACCAUUGCUCGCAUGAUUGGAGUAAGUACUCGCGCAGUUUUCAGACGAAUGGCUGAAUGUAACCUCUCCAUUCGGGCGCGAUAUAGCACUCUCACGGACGAAGAGUUAGAUGAUUGUGUGACAGAUGUAAAGCAACACAUGCCUCAGUGUGGAUACAGAAUGAUGAGAGCAGCUGUAAAGGACACCAAGUGCAGUUCGACCGGGUCAGGGCAGAUACAGUGGGAGUCAUGUCCCGAAGGGCACAGUUGGGCUGCGUGGUACGAAGGACCCAUUCAGUGUCGGGUCCUAGGUCAAUAAUGCACAUUGACACCAACUAUAAACGGAUUCACUACAAUAUAGUCAUCUUUGGGUGUGGAUGGCUUUUCACGCAAGAUAAUGUACCUUGGAGCUUCAUCUAAUAAACUUGCUAAAACCACCUUGGAUUUUUUUCAAGAAGCAGCGGAGACAUUUGGCUUCCCUCUCAGGGUACUAGGAGAUCAGGGUGUUGAAAAUGUGGACGUGGCUCGCCUGAUGUUCACAGUUCGUGGGACAGAAAGAGGAAGCUUUAUUUCAGGAAAGAGCGUCCACAAUCAGCGUAUAGAGAGGUUGUGGAGAGACGUCUGGUCAUCAGUGACAAAUGUCUACUACGAUGUUCUGCAUGCUUUGGAAGAAGGUGGCCACCUUAAUAUUUCUGACCUUACUCAUCUGUUCUGUUGCCACUGUGUAUUUCUCCCACGGCUUCAAGAUGAUCUCAACCUAUUCCGAAACACCUGGGACAAUCACCCAAUACGCACAGAGGGUAAUAUGUCUCCUAACCAGCUGUGGGUGAUGGGAAGUGUCCGCAAUGCUGUACCUGAGCCUGACAUAGAGCUAUGUUUGUGGAUUUUGACAGUAAAAACUUUUGAGUAAUCACACUGUAUUCAAUACAAGAUAUUACAUUUUUAUACUGUAUUGAUGAAACGUUAUUCUGUGUUCAGAACUGUAAUUGGUAUCUCAUUUGUGACAUAAAAUGCUGUGUUAUUGUUUGAAGGGAUUCAGCACACCACAGAUAGACUGGGAGAGUAGUGGACUGAUGUUGAUGCACAUUCCAGCGUUGUUGUGCCUCAAACCCAAUGUCCCCUGACUGAUGAGCGAAUAGAAGCACUCAGAGAAAAUGUUGACCCCAAAGGACCUUCACAGACUUUUGGCUGGGACAUCUAUCUAGCUGCACUUCAUUUUUGCCAAUCGAUUAUGGAAUAAAUGUGAUUGUCAUCUUUAGCCUUAAAGAGGCAGACUUCUAGCAGAAGCAAUUAAGAAAGAAUUAAUAUUUGUACUCAAUACGUUAAAGUAUCUGAAUAAA